UGAAUUGUAGUCGUGCUCCCUCGUUUAUAUUAUCAUCAGUUGACUGUUGUACAAUAUUCCCUGAUCCUUGCGUCGAUCGCUGACUGUGAGAAAUUGCACUAUUGGCUAUAGGCGUGCAUAACAGUUUGUUACAAUCGCAACAGUCUUGCUGUGGUACAGUAGUCUGCGAAAUUAAGUCACCGCUGAACCUUUCUAUUCAGUUGCAGCUGUAUCAUCACCCUAUCAUAACUUACUUAGACCGGCAAUACGUAAUCUUCUGACAAUUCCUCAGUAAUCCACUCCAUACGCUGUACGCUAUACACACACACACACACACGUGCUAGUGAACAUACAGCAUCCCCAGGAGAACAUGUUUGCUUCAAAGUUAUAUGGCAAUCUCAGCAAGACAUUGAGCAAGUUUGCUCAGCGUGGUUAUGCUGUGAGUGUACAAGUACAAAGCAUGGUAGCCCAGUCAACCUGCCGAUCAACGCUAUGUUGUGUUGCUAGCAAGAUGACUCAGACAUCAGCACAGUCCAAGCAGUCAGUUAGGUGGAGAUCAGAUCAGCAGGGUCGUCAACCCACUACGGUACAUGAUGCCUAUGAUGCCGUUAAGUCAAUAUUUGACAGCAUCGUGACUACGCGCACGUUUCAACCCAGCGAGCUGAUCUCUCAAUGUUCUCUUAUCCAACGACAUGCGAAUGAACUACGGUACCCAAGCAUGAUUAAGGUCAUCCUGCGAGCAUGUGCUCUUAUCACAGAGGAGAACACUGACGUAACCACAUUGGCAGUAUCUUCACUAAAUCAACUAGCCACCCUACCUACUGUUGUCUGGCAAGACUACAGGAAUCAACCCAACCUGAGAUGGUCACUGCAUUGGGCUGCAAAGUGUCGAUGCAUGACUCCAGAAUUCAGGAAGUUACUAGCACAGCAACUAGAUGUCCUGCGUCUUGAUCAAUGUAGAGAUGUUGAUCAGUGUUCUCAUGCACUGUUCAUGUUAAAUUCACCCGACCGUUGCCUGGCGCUAAACUUGAUGAAUCGCUAUUUGACCAUACACAGUACAGGUGAUCCCAAGCAUCGUCAUACUCAAGUACUCAGACUACUUCUCUACUGUACACUGUGUGGUGUAGAGUGCAGUGCCUUGCUGAAGCUGAUCAGGGUUGAUCAUCUGAUACAAAAAUGCGAGCCUCGCCAUCUGCAACUGCUAUAUUUGCACAACACCCUCCCUGUCACUAGCGACCAGCGGCUGCAGAUAAUGGACAAGUGGUUAGUGCGGUUCCAGAAGGAUGUGGCAAGUCAGCAUUCAGGUCGAAUGUAUGAUAUGCUGUCAUACUUCAUUGGCCCAAAGUACACCACUGGCAUAUCUCUGGUCGGUGGUGUGGACGUUCAGGCAUUCUGCAUAUUCAACCAAGACCAUGAACCAGUGGAGACUGAUGCUUAUCCAGCUGAUGUAUACAAUGGUGUAUCAGUAGAUAUGACUGCAGCUACACGUCAUGGUUUCAGUGUUGUGGCCUGUCGGGGUGUGAGUGACACUCAGUUACUACGUCAUCCUGUACGUACACCUAACGGAUAUGAUACUCUGCCGCAUUGGCACUGAAAUCUCAAGGAUGUUAUAUUAUUCCGGCGGUACUCAAUUAUGGCGCUCGGCACUCUCAGAACAGCAGCCACGUUAUCCCGGAUUUGCUGAUCAAUUACCCGCAUCACAUCGCCGUGUUCAAUGACCUGUUACCCGCCAAGCAGUGAUGAUUAUACACACUGAUGUCAUAGUCUACAUGAUGAUAUCUCCGAACAGUAGAAUACUAAACCGAAUUGUGCAGGAAGUGUGUUAUUUCAUGUGAGACUGGUAUAUGAGGUCCAUUUUGUGAUUGACAUUUUGAUUUCUUCGAUCCCUUCCCGUUUCUCUGCUUAGCUGAACACUGAGGGAGUUGGUGCUGAGCGUUGUCUCAUCUCACUCUGUUGGUUGAGUACCUGAGUAUGGAUGUGAGAGGGUAGUGCUGCUAUUACUAGUGCAGUAUGCAUGUUGAUACGGUGUUUUUUCUUAUCAAGGUAUUGUUGAGUUUGUGCGUGUGUGUUUGUGUUCCUGUGUGCUCAGUAUUCUAUUACCAUUUAUUUUCUUUAGCAUCAGCGUCUUCCGGUUUUAUUUCCGUUUACUACCACUCAGCUUAUGCGAAAUCAUUUGAUUGACGAUGACGCGAAAAUACGAAUAAUAAUACUUCGAAGUAAUAGCACAUUAUUUUCUCUGUGCAUAUUCGCACGUUGAUAUUGUCAAUCCUCCACAUUACAUGUGUGUUGCAGCUUCUAUUAUUCACAGUACACGUGGUACAUGUAGAGUGUGGCUAAACCAGGGUCCACAUUCUUGAAGCUAUUCAGAACACAUUUUAGAGGGUAGUGCUGUGAUCUGUGUCUGCGUGUGUGUG